GCUCUGCUUUCCCAGGUGCUGGAUCAGUGGUUUGAGUCUGAGCCUCUAAAAGCCACUCUAGCAACGGACGCAGUGAUUGGAGCUAUGACAA
rnacentral:pre_miRNA from 8 species